rnacentral:lncRNA from 1 species
UGGACACCAAGGGCUGGGCGAGCCGCGGCUGCCUACUCUGAGCACAGGGCCUCGCGUGCACAGCCCCGGCCUGGCUGCCACUCCCCACCCGGUUGUCAUCAUGCGCCGACCUUACCCCUCUCGCCUUUGAGUCUGCAGCUCCGGGAAUCCACUCCGCAUAGGGAUAUCUUGAAAAACUGUAAGAAAUACGUCUAUGCGUCCCACGGCUGCACAUUGCAAAGGUGAGCUCGUUGAUGUUCCAGCGUGAUUCGCUUGGUCCAUAUAAAACAAUCUGCAAAGACUUCUGAAAAUCCACCCUCCUUUUUUCAGAACCAGCUUAACAAAGCCUGGGCGUCAAACACCUAGAAACGCAGUAUGCUGUGAUUGCCUCUUGGUAAAACAACAAAAUAGAAAGCUGCUUGCGAAUCCCGACUUCUCCGCGUCUAUGUUGUGCGUAACCCAACUUCUCGGGGCUUCGGUUUCCUUACCUCACAAUGGAAAGGUAUCGCUCAGGAUUCCAUCAGCACACUGCGGGAACUGACCUGGUUGGAUUAAGGAACUUUCAGAAGGACUUUAAGUAAUACUGGAUAACUCACAGAAGUCCGGAGAAAGCCACAGUCCAGGUCUGGGACUUCUGCGCCAAGAACACCAAAAAUCACACAGCAAAAUGAAACCAGUGAGAAAACACGGCUGCCCGGGCCGCCCGCGGCUGGGUCGCCCUGCAGCUGAAGGGCUCAUCUUUUUUGCCACUGAGGAGAUUCAUUCAAUCCUUGCUUCUUUUUGUCCCCAGCGCCAGAUUCAGGCUCCGGAAUGAGCCAGUCUGACUAGGGAAGAUGCGGAUAAAGCAGCGGAUGAGAACAUUUGGCGGUGACGGCUCCAUGGUGAGGGCUGGCCUCUGCUCCGGGAAUGGCAGAGUCGGCUAGGAGGGCCGGGGCCUCACUGCCCCGAAUGUCCGCCCCAGUGGCCCUCGGUAAUUGUUGCAUGUCCGCCAACAAGCACGUGAGAUGACUGUAGGUGGAAUGUACACGAAGCCGUGCUAUCGUUGCUGGGAAAGUACACACAAGGUUCUUUUCCUGUGACAUGGACACGGGUGCAGAAACAUUUCUCCACUCCGAAACAGACACAGCGCAAGCAUGAUGACCUUCACAACGGCCCGCGUCCUCAGCAGGGAGCAGGACGGAGGCGAGGAGAUUGGCUGUGGGUAAGCGCAAGAAAGGGGCACAAUGAUGCAGGACUUUCCAUACCGGCCGUCGCCCCUCUGAGAGAAAGACAACGCAGGCGAGAAGGAUGCAGAAGUCCAAGAUGUACUGCACUUUUGAAGAAGGAGAUCAAGGAAGGCUUAACGGAGGUGGUGACAUUUGGGAUCUCAGAUAUCACAUAGGGGUCCGUUCAGUGUAUUCAAUGAUACUGAAAACUUAUGUGUAAUGCAUGAUACUAGGUACUGGAGAUAAACAAACCGAUGAAUGAACAAAGUCCUUUCUUCUAAGGAAAGAAAGAUAAUAAUGAAGAACCAAGUAAGAGAAUGUCAGAUCGUGGUUCCUUGCAACAAAGGACAUAAACCAAGGUAAUGUGUCAGAGAAGGGGAGAAGUGGAUGGCUGGGUGGGGCGGUUGGAGAGGCCACGCUAGGUGAUGGGAGGCCUGUUGUGCAAAGGUCUGUGGAACUGCAUCCACAGUGAGGAGGGAGGAGGAAAUGGGAGGCAGGACCAUGCUGGGAAAGGCAUUGUGUGUCCCAGGUGAGCUGGUUCAUGGGACACAGAAAAGCACAUUUUGGAU